CCUGCAUCCCUUUAUCCCUAGGGGGCAGAGCAGGCUCCUCCCUUUCUGUCCUUGGGAGACCUGGAGGCAGGGUGUGUCUGAGGGUCUCCUGAGAGAGGCCCUGGUGAAAACCCAUUCCUCUUCCCACCCAAAGAGGCCUCUUUCUGGAUCAUCGCCCGCACAUCAAGUGGCUGCCCCUUCUGUGAGCCUAACAGUGCAGAACCAGCACCCCAGGGACUCGUGACUGCCCUCUGUCCAGGUGGAGCCACUUAGAGGAGAGCCCUUCAGGCAGCAAGGCCCAAAUGGAGCAGAGUGGAAGAUCUGCCAGAAUGAGUGCAAAGGUCAAAGGCGAAGGAGGAAAGUCCAGUGCCAAUCAAGAGGGCCUGAAGGUUAACAAAAACACAGACAGACCAACAAACAAAACCCAACCUGGCUGUUUAUCUUCUGUCAAGUUGUAGCACUUUGGAAUCUUUCUGUCUCUU